UAGUGAAGUUUGAAUUAGGGCU
rnacentral:miRNA from 1 species